rnacentral:rRNA from 1 species
UUCUCUGGAAUAACUGAUGGAAACGUCAGCUAAUACCGGAUACGCCCUUUUGGGGAAAGAUUUAUCGGGAUUGGAUGAGCCCGCGUAAGAUUAGCUAGUUGGUGGGGUAAUGGCCUACCAAGGCGACGAUCUUUAGCUGGUCUGAGAGGAUGAUCAGCCACACUGGGACUGAGACACGGCCCAGACUCCUACGGGAGGCAGCAGUGGGGAAUAUUGGACAAUGGGGGCAACCCUGAUCCAGCCAUGCCGCGUGAGUGAUGAAGGCCUUAGGGUUGUAAAGCUCUUUCACCGGUGAAGAUAAUGACGGUAACCGGAGAAGAAGCCCCGGCUAACUUCGUGCCAGCAGCCGCGGUAAUACGAAGGGGGCUAGCGUUGUUCGGAAUUACUGGGCGUAAAGCGCACGUAGGCGGAUAUUUAAGUCAGGGGUGAAAUCCCGGAGCUCAACUCCGGAACUGCCUUUGAUACUGGAUAUCUAGAGACCGAGAGAGGUAAGUGGAACUCCUAGUGUAGAGGUGGAAUUCGUAGAUAUUAGGAAGAACACCAGUGGCGAAGGCGGCUUACUGGCU